CUUGUCGUGCUCCCGGGACAUCUCCUUCUUCAGUCUGUGUUCGGUAUACACCAGAUAGGAAAAACCUGCCUGAGGAUUAUGUAAAGACCUGAAGUACAUCACAGAUUCCCCUUCCCCCUUCUGUCCCCAUCAGAGUCGCUUCUGAAGUCACCUCGUUACAGUGUGAAUCUCUUGAAUAUAUGUUUUUCGAUGAGUGUUAGGUACUCACCCCUUGUCCUUUUGGUAGAGCCGGCUUCAGGCAGUUUGGCAAGGAGGAAACGUAGAUCCUGCUUCACAACGCGUUGCCUACAGCUCCCCUUGGGGUAUCCUCAAGAACAAAAAAAAUCCUGCUGGAGUUUGAGAGUUUUAGAUACCAAAAGCUCAAAAAUCCAGGAGACCUCGGGGAAGGAGCGCUUGCUUCCCUUCCCUGGAAUGUCAGAAUCACACAAUCCUAAGCGAGUAUCGCACAGAGAAAACCAUCUCAGAAUAUUGGUUAGGUCGGAUGGGGAAAAGAAAUGCCAAGGUAUUUUAUUUUUCACUUUGAACCUCCCGCGCCCUUUGCAGGGAUCCUCACUUUGCUGUGGCAUACCCUGAAGAGUCACGAGGCAAAAAUGAAGUAUCCAGGGGGUUUAGUGUAGCAGCCUGUGUCCUAACAGGAAGGGGGCCUGGUGAGGAGGCACCUCGGGAUCACCCUGGCAUGGGUUUUGAAAUGUUUGUCAAACCAUGGGGGAGGGAGGAGCAGGGAAAAAGCUGGGCUCUCCAGGCGGGUUGUACCUAGGAAUGUUUGUUCCUAAACCAGUGCAGCCAAUAUCUGGAAUGGAACUGUAGGCAUCGCUGCUCUGUGGACAGCAGAGGCAGCCAGAGCCGGAAGGGGAGAAGGCUCCGGUUCUCCGCAGAGCAGGCAGUGAGAGGUUUGGCUUUGGGGGACGUGGUGUGGCUCUGCCCGGUGGGGGGUGGGGGUGUUGUGGUGUAAGUAGGCAGCGGAAAAUAGGUCUGAGAUUCUGCAGUUCCUAACGACAGGUACCAAGAGGUUAUGAUACGGGUUGGGGGGUCUGUGAUGUACAGUGGGAAUAAAUGCUUGUGGCUCUUAGGCUUUUUUUGAUCAAUGAAGCACUUUUUUAAUUAAUAUUAUUUUUCUUUGUAUGUAAAGGAGGAACCAGUAUCUCUCCGUAGCUGUACAUAUACCCCUUCUCUCCUCAAGAGAGUAAAGUGCUCCUCUAUUUUUCAUUUUUGUCAAAGUGAGAAGUAAAUACUUUAGAACUGUUAAAUAUAUAAAUAAAAGUGAAUAAAGUUUAGCCUUUUGCAUGGGAGCAUUUGCUAACACACUUUCUAAUUUUUUUUUAUUUUUCUCCCUUGCCUUCCGUGGGGGAUACAUUUGAAGUUCAGCAGAAACACCAAGGCCUUUGAGAACGGAGGCGGCAGCAGGGCCUCCUCUCGCUUUCUGUUCCACUCUGUGUCCUUGCAAGGAACAACAAACUGUUGCUCCUAAACUUAGGAGAAAAAAAAAAACAUUAAGCUUGGUUUUCCUGGCACAAGAGUCCCAGGGAGGGGGGGAAAGACACAAACUGCCUGCACCCCCAGGUCCCCUCAGCACAAUCCGCAGGGGUUUCCCAAGGCUGGAGAACUCCCGAGAGCCUCAUCUUCCUCGGUACCUUGUUUUGCUCUCUUCCCCUAAUCAGCCACCGUAUUUGAGAUGUUUAGCCCAAGCAUAGGAGCGGCCUGGGCCCCCAAGGGAUUCACCUGGCUUUCGGUGACACCUGGAAAGGGAAGCUCGAUGUCUCCCUUCCCCUGCUGUGAGCCGGCACCGGCACUCGCCGCAGUGGGGAGAGCGGCGCUGGGUUCUCACUCACACACUUUCUGCCUUACUCUCAAUGCUGGAUGGUGGAGCCGCGGCUCUUCGGGAACAAACCAAACUCACUCAGGUUUAAUCUCUUUUGAUCUUUUCCUAGAAGGUGGAAAACUCCAUUGCUGUUUGUCCCGCCAAAGCCUCCUGUGCGAGGCUCUGACUCUUCUCGUGCUCCUGGGGCCGCUUGCUUGUUUUGGCCGCUGGGCUGCAUGCGCUCCCCUCGCAUCAUCUCCUGCUCCCUUAUUUCUUUUCUUGCGUAUUUGAAGUUGAAAGAGAGAGCAAGGAUUUGCCCUGAAUUCUACGGGGGGCCAAAGAGCUCCUUGAGCAAUGGGGAGUUAUUUUGGGAGAGGCCUGUUCUAAUCGCAAGCCGUUGCACACAGUUGCUUUAUAAUCUCAUGGUAUUUAUUGAAUCAAAUAAAACGGAUUCUGGGCAGAGCCGUGCUUGCGGCUGGCGGUAGCAUUUGCAGCUUCAAGAAUAAAAAAGAAAAGCACAGAUCGUGUUUUGCACUACCAAGAACAGGCGAAGGAACAGCUUUUCAGUUCUGCACCAGAACUGGAUUUUUCUGGAGCACCUUUCGUACUUGAGUUACUUCCAAGUGCGUUUUCAGUAACUCAUUACCCUGUAGCGUGGCGGCUGUCGAUGUUACGUGGACACCCAGUACUCCCAGCCCCGGACACCGCACCGCUUGGAUGUUCCCUGCUUCGGAAAUGCUGAGUGAACCCCCGCGGGUCUCCUCUGCUGCUGUUGGAUGGUGUCAGAGAGCUUUUUAACUUCCAGCUCUCCACCAGCGCAAGUGCCUGAAGGGAGAGCAGCGCUGCCGUCGCCACGCGCAGCUUCAGUGCUGCCCGACUGUGCUGUAAAACAAAUCUCCUUAGGCAAAGGCGAUUUGCCUGGCUUAUCAGGAGUCUUGCAAAUAGCGUUAGCGGCUGAGGAACGCAACAGUUGUUGAGAACCAGAGGCCCCUCAGGUCCCCAGGUAGGGAACAGUGAGCCCAGCCUCUCCUCGCCAGCCAAGGUGGCACAGGAGUCGUUUGGCAGCAGCAAUCUCAUGGGUUGGGCGGUCAAUUGUACGGGUGAGGUACUGUGCCGGCAGCGUGCAGGACGGAAAGCCAGAGGCUCUUUGGUGGUGCUGGGAACCGCUCCGCUCCCCAGGAAGGGCUGGCGGUGUGGAAUUGAGCCCUUGCUGGGAGAGGUUUUGAGCUGUUGUGUUGCUGCGAAGGGCAAUGGCCACAUGCAGGAAAGCUGAGUGGAUUCAGAGCCCCUUUAACAGACGGGGGCUGCAGGUAUUUUACAGUCAGUCUGUAAUUGCCCCUCUUGUAGAUCCUGAAUUACUUGGCAUGAAGCUUUGAGAAAACCAUGUCCAGGGCCGGUCAGAAGAUGAUGUUUACUGGGCUGUGCUGGAAGGAGAAUCUCAGGAGGUGCUCGGGCAGUGCUGAGUGAGGGCUGGCUCUCUGGCAUUUGCUGGGGUGCAGGAGCCGGGUUGGGUUUUACAUAGUCCUUAGAGCUGCCCUCACUCUCUCGCACUGCUUGGAACCAGCUCCUGAGUUCCACGGCAUUACCUGCCUCGGUUAAGAAUCAAAAGCAGCAAUUUGGGCUCUUUCUGAGUGGUGAGGCAGGCGAGCGAUGCGGCCUCUGCAGCGGCGCGGGCUGCGCUGCGCCUGCUCCCGGCGCUUUUCCCUCUGCAGGAGAGGGCAGCGAUUCCUGAGGCAGCUCGGCACCCUCCCGGGCAGGCCCAGCACCAGCCCAGACAGGGGGAGGUUUCAUUUUAAAGAAUUCAGCUCGGGGGUUUUUGUUAAAAGAGGGAAUCCACCAGCCUAAGAGCAAGGGUGCCGGAAGAGAAACAGAACCUUCCAGUAGAGCCAUGUCUGUGCAAGCGCUUGUCUGUCUGUCCGUCCCUGCGCCAUGCGGCUAUGCUGCUUCCCGGGCAGAGGAAUGACAAAUUCCCUUCCCUUCGUUUCACACGCGCACCCCACAGGCGUUGGAGCUGGGAUUUCGGGAUUUGAGAUUACCGUGUUCUUUGGACUUUCAAAGUUUUUAAAUGCUGCUAAAGUUUUACCUUACUAUUUAACAGACACGUUUUUUAAACCCAUUUCCCACAGUUGUGUUAUUAAAUGAUUUUUACCUUGCAGUGGCAACAGGUGAUGCGUUUGAUUGUACAUUACUAUUUUUUUUUUGGUGAAAUUUGUAUUGAAAUGACAUCCGAAGUCUUGAUUAAUUACUUCAAGAACAUUAAAUGUUUUAAACCACGCAAACCUACAAGAGCAGAGAGCUGUGUAGCAGCGGUAUAAAGUGUUAGACCCUAGUGCUUAUUUGUUUGUAACAGCAUUUAUUCUGCUGUAGCCUCAGAGUGAAUAUUUAGAUCUUAAUAAAUUUGUCAUUUUCCUACAUGG